AUGGGGGCGACACUUCCACACACGGUAAGGGUUAGGAUAGGGGCUCUGUCUGUCUUUGCUGGUGGUUUAAAGCUCCCGCCCAUUUUUAGAGCUCGUCCUGCUGUUAUAUCCUUCUCGUUGCUUUGAAGAUCCUUGAAAUUGAACUGUCAUUUGUUCCGGUGUUACGAGAUUUUCGGAUUCCGAGAAAUGUGGUUGCAAUGGGCGGGACUUACAUGAAUAUUCAUACGUUUCUUCAACGUGCGCGUGCAACUGAAAAUGUCAGUCCACGCUCCUCAAAUUUCAACAUGAACACCUCUAAAAUAGAUGAUUUUGAAACGAGCGGGAUUCGAAGCGGAGUCUCCAGCAUUGUAGGCGGGCGCAUUAACAAGGAGGCUAAAUGCUACAGCCCCUAGCGUCAGUCGCAAGUGCACCUCUUGAGGCCAGGGGAGUGAGGUUUACACACUGCACAGCUACCUACCAGCUGGCUACCGUUACACUCACCCUCCUAAACCUCACUCCCAUCUGGUUCACGGCACCACUGUAACCAGUAAUACUUGAGCGGGAUUCGAACCGGCAUGGGAGGUGGCUGCACUGACGAGGAGGCUAAAGGUUACAGCCCCUAGCAUAAGUCGCUAGUGCACCUCUUGAAGCCAGGUCACGGCACCACUGUAACCAGCACUACUCGACCCAGGAAGAGCGGGAUUUGAACCAGCAUGGGAGGCGGACGUGUUAAUGAGGAGGUUUAAAGGCUACAGCCCCUAGCGUCAGUCACUAGUGUGCCUCUUGAGGCAAGGGGAGUGAGUUUUACACACUGCACAGCUACCUACCAGCUGGCUACCGUUAAAUAUGCAGAUGACCUGCAAUUGUAUUUGUCGUUGAAUCCCAAUGAUCUGAAUAAUUUAAAUGUUCUUCAAGUAUGUAUAGUAGAUAUAAAAAAUGGAUGCCAUGUAAUUUCCUUCAGUUAAAUACUGAUAAAGCAGAGGUUGUUAUAAUCGGCCAUGAUUCUAAAAAAAAAACUCAGAUUGAGUCAGCACUGAAUCAGGUGGUCCCAAAUAUUCAGCAGGUGGUGACAUGAACUAGGGCUUUUAAUCAUGUUACUGCAGUUUUAGCUUCUUUGCAUUGGUUACCAAUUCAUUUUAGGGUUGAUUAUUAAUUACAUAUAAAGCAGUACAUGGGUUGGCGCCUGAAUAUUUAGCAGAACUUUUAAGACCUUAUGAAACAGUUAGGCCUCUUAGAUCUUCUUGUCAUGAGCUGUUGGCUGUUCCCAGAUCCAGAUGCAAAACAAAAGUUGAUAGUGUUUGUAGUGAAGGUCCCACGAUUAUGGAACAGCCUUCCCUGGUACAUUAGAUCUGCUGAAUCUGUGUCUGUUUUUAAGUGUCAUUUAAAAAUUCAUUUGUAUAGACUUGCUGUUAUUACUAUGUCAAUGUGCUGUUGCUUUUUUUAUUUUUAUUUGUUUUUAUUAUUAUUACCUUUCCCAAUCCCCAACCCCACCCUGAUCCUCAACAACAUCCCUGUGGUCACACAUGAUUAUAGACACACACACACAAAUCUGUAUACAGUUGUGCUAAAAGUUUGCAUACCCUGGCAGAAACUGUGAAAUUUUGGCAUUGAUUUUGAAAAUAUGACUGAUCAUGCAAAAAAUGAAGCCAUUUAUUAUCACAUAGUUGUUUGGCUCCUUUUUAAAUCUUAAUGAUAACAGAAAUCACCCAAAUGGCCCUGAUCAAAAGUUUACAUACCCUUGAAUGUUUGACCUUGUUACAGACACUCAAGGUGACACACACAGGUUUAAAUGACAAUUAAAGGUUAAUUUCCCACACCUGUGACUUUUUAAAUUGCAAUUAGUGUCUGUUUAUAAAUAGUCAAUGAGUUUGUUAGCUCUCACGUGGAUGCACUGAGCAGGCUAGAUACUGAGCCAUGGGGAGCAGAAUAGUAUGGUAAAAAAGACCUAAGUAACAAAGUAAUGGAACUUUAAAGAUGGAAAAGUAUAUAAAAAGAUAUCCAAAGCCUUGAAAAUGCCAGUCAGUACUGUCCAAUCACUUAUUAAGAAGUGGAAAAUUCGGGGCUCUCUUGAUACCAAGCCAAGGUCAGGUAGACCAAAAAAGAUUUCAGCCACAACUGCCUGAAGAAUUGUUCGGGAUACAAAGAAAAACCCUCAGGUAACCUCAAGAGAAAUACAGGCUGCUCUGGAAAAAGACGGUGUGGUUGUUUCGAGGAGCACAAUACGACGAUACUUGAACAAAAAUGAGCUGCAUGGUCGAGUUGCCAGAAAGAAGCCUUUACUGAGCCAAUGUCACAAAUGACAACAACUUGACAUGCCUCACAGCUUCUGGCACACUGUAAUUUGGAGUGACGAGACCAAAAUAGAGCUUUAUGGUCACAACCAUAAGCGCUAUGUUUGGAGAGGGGUUAACAAGGCCUAUUGUGAAAAGAAUACCAUCCCCACUGUGAAGCAUUGUGGUGGCUCACUGAUGUUUUGGGGGUGUGUGAGCUCUAAAGGCACGGGGAAUCUUGUGAAAAUUGAUGGCAAAAUGAAUGUAAUAUGUUAUCAGAAAAUACUGGCAGACAAUUUGCAUUCUUCUGCACGAAAGCUGCGCAUGGGACGCUCUUGGACUUUCCAGCAUGACAAUGACCCUAAACACAAGGCCAAGUUGACCCUCCAGUGGUUACAGCAGAAAAAGGUGAAGGUUCUGGAGUGGCCAUCACAGUCUCCUGACCUUAAUAUCAUCGAGCCACUCUGGGGAGAUCUGAAACGUGCGGCUCAUGCAAGACGACCAAAGACUUUGCAUGACCUGGAGGCAUUUUGCCAAGACGAAUGGGCAGCUAUACCACCUGCAAGAAUUUGGGGCCUCAUAGACAACUAUUACAAAAGACUGCAUGCUGUCAUUGAUGCUAAAGGGGGCAAUACACAGUAUUAAGAACUAAGGGUAUGCAGACUAUUGAACAGGGGUCAUUUCAUUUUUUUCUUUGUUGCUAUGUUUUGUUUUAUGAUUGUGCCAUUCUGUUAUAACCUACAGUUGAAUAUGAAUCCCAUAAGAAAUACAAUAAAUGUGUUUUGCCUGCUCACUCAUAUUUUCUUUAAAAAUGGUACAUACUGUAUAUUACCAAUUCUCCAAGGGUAUGCAAACUUUUGAGCUCAACUGUAUAUAAUAAACACACACAUUAAUAACUAUACCUCUCUCUCCACUGCCCCUCCCCGAGAGCCCUCCAAAAACUCCAGAUAUUUGCCCCAUUUCCCCACAAACAAGUCCAAAUUCCCCAGUCUUCUAGAUGACUCUUCUUCGAGCACCACUCUUGAAAUUGGGGCGCUCCAGCUGACUUCCAUCCCCUUAAAACUAUUUGUCUGGUGAUCAUGAUGGUGGUUAGGACCCAAUUUUUUAUGUGUUUAUUCUCUAUUUUGAUGACCGCCCCAUCGCCUAAAAUACAGAGUCUGGGGCAAAAUGAAAUUUGAGUGCCCAAUAAAUAACACAUAAAACUCUGAACCUUCAACCAAAAUUCUUGGAGCUUAGCACAUCACCAAAAAACAUGGGUUGUGUCUCCAUCUUCUGACUGGCAUUGCCAGCAGGUGGGUGUGUCUUUAAGACCAAGCAUAUACAAUCUAGAGGGGGUCCAAUAAAAUCGAUGUAAAAUCUUCAAUUGCAUAAUGCGUACCCUUGCAUCUCUAGAUGCAGACUUGAUGUUUUUUAGAACCCUAGCCCACACUCCCUCCUCCAAUACCAAGUUUAAAUCUUUCUCCCGUAAUCUUUUGAUAGAAGUUAAAGCUUUGUCCCCCAGACUUUGAAUUAGCAGGUGUGUGUUGCUUUUAUUACUCUGUGAAUAUGUUGGGUUUUACUGUGUGUUUUUUUAUUUUAUGUUUUGUGAAGCACGCUAAAAGGUGCUAUAUAAAUAAAAUGACUAUAACUACAUCCUCUGAAAACAAGUCUUAACACCUUAUGGCAAUUUUACUUUGUAAAUGUAGGCCUACCUUAAUAUGAGAAUACAUUUGGAAUUUAAGUUGGCCUUACAACAUUCAAAUGUGUUUUAACACAACAUGAUCUUUUGUCACAGAAAGUGAUAAUGCACUAUCCUAUGUCUUUCAAGUUAUGAGGUUAGUUUAAGUUUUUGACAAAUGGAUGACAUGCUUUGUUUUUCAUGUAUGUAUGCUUAGAAAAAAAUGCUUUCACAAAGUCCUUUGGAAAUAAGUUCCAGGGGGCAAAUAUCAGCCGUUAAUAAAAAGUGAAUUUCCGACACAUUCUCA